rnacentral:rRNA from 1 species
AGCGAACGCUGGCGGCAGGCCUAACACAUGCAGGUCGAACGGAUCCUUCGGGAUUAGUGGCGGACGGGUGAGUAACACGUGGGAACGUGCCCUUUGGUUCGGAACAACUCAGGGAAACUUGAGCUAAUACCGGAUGUGCCCUUCGGGGGAAAGAUUUAUCGCCAUUGGAGCGGCCCGCGUCUGAUUAGCUAGUUGGUGAGGUAAAGGCUCACCAAGGCGACGAUCAGUAGCUGGUCUGAGAGGAUGAUCAGCCACAUUGGGACUGAGACACGGCCCAAACUCCUACGGGGGGCAGCAGUGGGGAAUCUUGCGCAAUGGGCGAAAGCCUGACGCAGCCAUGCCGCGUGAAUGAUGAAGGUCUUAGGAUUGUAAAAUUCUUUCACCGGGGACGAUAAUGACGGUACCCGGAGAAGAAGCCCCGGCUAACUUCGUGCCAGCCGCCGCGGUAAAAC